AGCUGAUGUGACUUUUCUUUAUUCUAGGUUCUGACAACAAAGGAGAUUGUGACACAUUGCUGGGCCUAACACUAAGUUGAUGUUAGUUAUUUGCUUUGGCUGUGCCCUUGGAAGGCAUUGAGACAUACUGCUAUGCCCAGCACCAAGAUGAUGUAACGUGACUCUUCUGCUUCAGGCCUGCCAAAAGAAAAGAUUGUGACAGAUCACUGGACCCAGCACCUAGGUGAUGUGACUCUCCUCAUUUGCCUGAGACCUGCAUAUUUUAGACAUUGUGAUAUACAACUGGAACAAACACCUAGGGGUUGGAAGGCUCCUGCCUGAGUCCCUCCCACAGGAGGCCUUGUGAUGUUUUUUUGUUUGUUUUUUGUUUUCUUUGAGAUGGAGUUUCGUUAUUGUUGCCCAGACUGGCAUGCGGUGGCGUGACCUUGGCUCACCGCAACCUCCGCCUCCCGGGUUCAAGCGGUUCUCCUGCCUCAACCUCCCGAGUAGCUGGGAUUACAGGCAUCUGCCACCAUGCCCAGCUAAUUUUCUAUUUUUAAUAGAGACGGGGUUUCUCCAUGUUGGUCAGGCUGGUCUCAAACUCCUGAAAUCAGGUGAUCCGCCUGCCUCGGCCUCCCAAAAUGCUGGGAUUACAGUUGUGAGCCACUGCACCCAGCUUUGUGAUGUAUUUCUGCAUCCAUCAUGCAAGAGAUAAAACUCUGUAUUUUUGCCUGCAUUCUGCCCACAGGGAAGAUUUUGACAUAUCGUUGGGCCCAGCAACCAGUCGUUUUGUCUGUCAUCUGGGCCCAGCACCCAAGGGAUCUCACUCUUCUACCUGUGCCCUGCUUUCAGGAGGGAUUGUAACAUCCCUGGUCAAGCCCCCAGUGAUGUGAUUCUCCUGUUUGAUGCCUGCCCUCAGGGGGGAUUGUGACAUAGCCCUGGCCCAACACACAGUUGAUGUAACUCUUGAAUUUGCUCUUUACAUACAGGUAGGAUUGUGACAUAUAUCUGGCCAAGCGUACAGAUGUAAUAAUG
rnacentral:lncRNA from 1 species